AGUGUCCUGGGAUAGAUAGGUGA
rnacentral:miRNA from 15 species